AUGGAUGCUGGGGAACAGGUGGUAACGGAAGAAGUGGGCACAGACUGGGCAUGGGCACCGGAGGUGCUUGGGGAGGAAUCGGGGCCCAUGGAUGCUGCUGAUGCUGGAGAGGCUUGGGUACCUUUAGAAGCAGAUCCCACUUGGUCUGUUUGGAGGAAUGAGGGUGGGUCCACACGUGUGGAUAGAGUUGGGUGUGAGCAAGAUGAUUGGGACUCUGAUGCCCAGGGAGACCUGGAUAAAUUGGGGAUGUUUGGCCAUAAUACUUUGCGUGUGCCUGUGUGUGUUACUGAAGACUGGACUGGGACUUUGCAACAGAUGUAAGUUUGAUCCGGGUCAUUCUGCAAUGGAAGGCUGGAAUUGUGUGGGUUUUCCUGGAUUGCACUGUUAUUACUAUUUUGCAUUAGCUGCUGUUCUCCCUCGUUGCUUUGGCUCUCUGUGCCAUUCUGUGUUGUGGACCUCCUUUUGAUGACUUCAAUCCCUGGACCUUGGACUGGAACUCAACCCGGCUCUCCUCUUUGCCCUUAAACACUGCUUGGCGUCGCUCUCUAUUCUGUGGCUGCCUUCUGCUCCUGACUCCUGGCUUGUUUCCUGACCCUGACGCUGUCUCCUAUCCCAACCUCGGACCGGCUUGACGAUGUUUCUACACUCUGCUCCUUGGGCUCCUGGCUUGGCCUGCACUCCUGUAGUUGUUUAAUGCUGUCUCCCCACCUCGACCUCGGACCGGCUUGACGCCGCUUCUACGCCCUGCACCUUUAAAUUCCUGGCUUGGGCUUCGUUCCUGCAGCGGUUUGACUCUGUCUCCCCAUCCUGACCUCAGACCUGCUUGACGAUGCUUCUCUCUCUGCUCCUUUAACUCCUGGCUUAGUGUUUUGCUCUGCAGUGGUUGCCACUGGCCCGCCAGUGUCCUUCAACUCCGCUUGCUUAGCUGCUCUCAGUUGAGAGCUUUUCUGCCCGGUUUGGGUUCCUGUUUGGGUUUAGAGUUGCUUUUGUACUUCUGGGCUUUAGGAGGUUUUUGGGGGCUUUGAAGCUGUUUACUUUACUUUGUAUGUUCAUUCUAAGUCCGCUCUGAACUUUUGGGCUUAUUUGGAGGACUUUAAAUUUAAUCCGGAUUAUAUUCCUGAUUAAUCCGGAUGAUUCGCCAAUUAACGUUUUUUGGCCUUUCUUUGUUUAGACUGCUUAAUAACCCUGAAUGUUAAGUGUUUUAAGCCAUUUUUAUGUUGUUGAAUUGUUUUUGGGCUAUUACUGAAUUAAACUCUGUUUUGCUCUCCAUUGGCGUCUGACUUUUGACACCCACUGGAUACCAUGAGUCCAUUCUCAGGCUGGAAG
rnacentral:lncRNA from 1 species